AAGACUAUACUUUCAGGGAUCAUUUCUAUAGUUUGUUACUAGAGAAGCUUCUUUGAACGUGUAGAGCACCCAUAGACCACGAGAAGGUGUCGUGUUCUUUUCUGAGCCUGAAGUUGGUUCUUGGUGUUGCUUAGGGUGACUGCUAUUUGCCAUUGAUGACUGUUCUUCUUUUCUUUUGGAAGAGUAAGAGGGAGAGGACACUAUCUGAGUGGU
ensembl:snoRNA U3 Small nucleolar RNA U3